UACAGAGGGGGCAAGCGUUGUUCGGAAUUACUGGGCGUAAAGGGCGCGUAGGCGGCCUGUUAAGUCGAACGUGAAAUCCCCGGGCUCAACCCGGGAACUGCGUCCGAUACUGGCAGGCUUGAAUUCGGGAGAGGGAUGCGGAAUUCCCAGUGUAGCGGUGAAAUGCGUAGAUAUUGGGAGGAACACCAGUGGCGAAGGCGGCUCACUGGACCGGUACUGACGCUGAGGCGCGAAAGCGUGGGGAGCAAACAGG
rnacentral:rRNA from 1 species